UACGUAGGGACCAAGCGUUGUUCGGAUUUACUGGGCGUAAAGGGCGCGUAGGCGGCUUAACAAGUCACUUGUGAAAUCUCCGGGCUUAACUCGGAACGGCCAAGUGAAACUGUCAAGCUAGAGUGCAGAAGGGGCAAUCGGAAUUCUUGGUGUAGCGGUGAAAUGCGCAGAUAUCAGGAGGAACACCGGUGGCGAAGGCGGGUCUCUGGGCCGUAACUGACGCUGAGGAGCGAAAGCAUGGGGAGCGAACAGG
rnacentral:rRNA from 1 species